rnacentral:ncRNA from 2 species
GAGUGAGGUAGAGGCGCGAAAACCAUGAGUACCUCCCUGAGAUCGGGCAUCUGUGACGGGUACGGGAAAGGGGAAUUCGCCGAAGUACGGAGAAAGGCCCGCUUCCUCCGUGCUGGGCCUGCGUUGAACAAGCGCAGGACUGUCAUCCGCGCAAUCACCCGUUGCCGGAUGGAGAGCUAUCUCACGA